GAUGAACGCUAGCGGCAGGCCUAAUACAUGCAAGUCGAACGAACGCAAGUUAGUGGCGCACGGGUGCGUAACGCGUAUGCAACUUACCUUUCACAGGGGGAUAACUCGGGGAAACUCGGGCUAAUACCGCGUAAUAGAUUAAAUGGCAUCAUUUGAUUUUAAAAGAAUUAUCGGUGGAAGAUGGGCAUGCGUGUCAUUAGCUAGUUGGUGAGGUAAUGGCUCACCAAGGCAACGAUGACUAGGGGUUCUGAGAGGAAGAUCCCCCACACUGGUACUGAGAUACGGACCAGACUCCUACGGGAGGCAGCAGUAAGGAAUAUUGGGCAAUGGGCGAGAGCCUGACCCAGCCAUGCCGCGUGCAGGAUGACGGCCCUCUGGGUUGUAAACUGCUUUUAUCAAGGAAGAAAAAGGCUUUGCGAAGUCAACUGACGGUACUUGAUGAAUAAGCACCGGCUAACUACG
rnacentral:rRNA from 1 species